rnacentral:rRNA from 1 species
UGACGAAGGGGGCUAGCGUUGCUCGGAAUGAACUGGGCGUAAAGGGCGCGUAGGCGGACGAUCUUUGUCGGGCGUGAAAUCCAGGCUUAACCUUGGGGCUGCGUUCGAGACGGGGUGUCUUGAGUGGGGAAGAGGGUCGUGGAAUUCCCAGUGUAGAGGUGAAAUUCGUAGAUAUUGGGAAGAACACCGGUGGCGAAGGCGGCGACCUGGUCCUUGA